rnacentral:rRNA from 1 species
UACGUAGGGGGCGAGCGUUGUCCGGAGUUACUGGGCGUAAAGCGCACGCAGGCGGUCGGUUGCGUCGGUGGUGACAGUGCUCGGCUUAACUGAGCAAGUGCUGCCGAAACGGGCUGACUUGAGGGCCAGAGAGGGAGACGGAACUCCGGGUGGAGCGGUGAAAUGCGUAGAGAUCCGGAAGAACACCGAAGGCGAAGGCAGUCUCCUGGCUGGUUCCUGACGCUCAGGUGCGAAAGCGAGGGGAGCAAACAGG